rnacentral:tRNA from 1 species
UAUAGCUCAAUGGUAAAGUGCUUGCCUAAUAUGCAUGAGGUCCUGAGUUUAACUCUCAGUA